AGUGAACGCUGGCGGUAUGCCUAACACAUGCAAGUCGAACGGCAGCACAGUAAGAGCUUGCUCUUACGGGUGGCGAGUGGCGGACGGGUGCGGAAUACAUCGGAAUCUACUUUUUCGUGGGGGAUAACGUAGGGAAACUUACGCUAAUACCGCAUACGACCUACGGGGGAAAGCAGGGGAUCUUCGGACCUUGCGCGAUUGUAUGAGCCGAUGUCGGAUUAGCUAGUUGGCGGGGUAAAGGCCCAGCAAGGCGACGAUCCGUAGCUGGUCUGAGAGGAUGAUCAGCCACACUGGAACUGAGACACGGUCCAGACUCCUACGGGAGGCAGCAGUGGGGAAUCUUGGACAAUGGGCGCAAGCCUGAUCCAGCCAUACCGCGUGGGUGAAGAAGGCCUUCGGGUUGUAAAGUCCUUUUGUUCGGAAAGAAAAGCAGCAGGUUAAUACCCCGCUGUUAUGACGGUACCCAAAGAAUAAGCACCGGCUAACUUCGUG
rnacentral:rRNA from 1 species